rnacentral:rRNA from 1 species
CCAUGUAUCAUUAAGUGAAUACAUAGCUUAAUGAAGGUAACCCAGGGAACUGAAACAUCUAAGUACCUGGAGGAAGAGAAAGAAAAAUCGAUUUUCUUAGUAGCGGCGAGCGAAAGGGAAAGAGCCCAAACCGGAAACUUGUUUCCGGGGUUGUGGACAUAACAUAAAAGUGGAGGCUAUUGUAACUGAAGAGAACUGGAAAGUUCCACCGUAGAAGGUAAUAGUCCUGUAAGUGAAACGAGAAGACCACGAGUUAUGAUCCAGAGUACCACGAGACACGUGAAACCUUGUGGGAAGCAGGGAGGACCACCUCCCAAGGCUAAAUACUACCUGAUGACCGAUAGUGAAGCAGUACCGUGAGGGAAAGGUGAAAAGAACCCCGGGAGGGGAGUGAAAUAGAACCUGAAACCGUGUGCCUACAACCGCUCAGAGCCCCUUAUGAGGGUGAUGAGGUGCUUUUUGUAGAACGAGCCAACGAGUUACGGUAUGUAGCAAGGUUAAGUACUUAAGGUACGGAGCCGAAGGGAAACCGAGUCUGAAUAGGGCGACUAGUUGCAUGCCGUAGACCCGAAACCGGGUGACCUAUCCAUGGCCAGGUUGAAGCGAGGGUAAAACCUCGUGGAGGACCGAACCACGUUGCUGUUGAAAAAGCAUGGGAUGAGCUGUGGAU